rnacentral:tRNA from 1 species
GCCUGGUUGGCUCAGUCAGUAGAGCAUGUGACUCUUGAUCUUGGGGUUGUGGGUUCGAGCCCCAUGUUGGGUG